rnacentral:rRNA from 1 species
AUUGAACGCUGGCGGCAGGCCUAACACAUGCAAGUCGAGCGAGCGGCGGACGGGUGAGUAAUGUAUGGGGACUGCCUGAUGGAGGGGGAUAACUACUGGAAACGGUGGCUAAUACCGCAUACAGUCGGAUAACCCAUAUGGGAUUAGCUCGUAGGUAGGGUAAUGGCUUACCUAGGCGACGAUCCCUCGCUGGUUUUAGAGGAUGAUCAGCCACACUGGGACUGAGACACGGCCCAGACUCCUACGGAGGCAGCAGUGGGGAAUAUUGCACAAUGGGCGCAAGCCUGAGGCAGCAAUGCCGCGUGUAUGAAGAAGGCCCUAGGGUUGUAAAGUACUUUCAGUCGGGAGGCGUUACCGACAGAAGAAGCACCGGCUAACUCCGUGCCAGCAGCCGCGGUAAUAC